AGCCGCGGUAAUACGGAGGGUGCGAGCGUUAAUCGGAAUUACUGGGCGUAAAGCGCAUGCAGGUGGUUUGUUAAGUCAGAUCGUGAAAGCCCCGGGGCUCAACCUCGGAAUUGCAUUUGAAACUGGCAAACUAGAGUACUGUAGAGGGGGUAGAAUUUCAGGUGUAGCGGUGAAAUGCGUAGAGAUCUGAAGGAAUACCGGUGGCGAAGGCGGCCCCCCUGGACAGAUACUGACACUCAGAUCGCGAAAGCGUGGGGAGCAAACAGGAUUAGAUACCCCUGGUAG
rnacentral:rRNA from 1 species